AUUGAACGCUGGCGGCAGGCCUAACACAUGCAAGUCGAGCGGAUGAAGGGAGCUUGCUCCUGGAUUCAGCGGCGGACGGGUGAGUAAUGCCUAGGAAUCUGCCUGGUAGUGGGGGAUAACGUCCGGAAACGGGCGCUAAUACCGCAUACGUCCUGAGGGAGAAAGUGGGGGAUCUUCGGACCUCACGCUAUCAGAUGAGCCUAGGUCGGAUUAGCUAGUUGGUGGGGUAAAGGCCUACCAAGGCGACGAUCCGUAACUAGUCUGAGAGGAUGAUCAGUCACACUGGAACUGAGACACGGUCCAGACUCCUACGGGAGGCAGCAGUGGGGAAUAUUGGACAAUGGGCGAAAGCCUGAUCCAGCCAUGCCGCGUGUGUGAAGAAGGUCUUCGGAUUGUAAAGCACUUUAAGUUGGGAGGAAGGGCGGUAAGUUAAUACCUUGCUGUUUUGACGUUACCAACAGAAUAAGCACCGGCUAACUUCGUG
rnacentral:rRNA from 1 species